rnacentral:rRNA from 1 species
UACGAAGGGGGCUAGCGUUGUUCGGAAUCACUGGGCGUAAAGCGCGUGUAGGCGGUCCGGUAAGUCCGCUGUGAAAGUCGAGGGCUCAACCUGUGAAUGCCGCUGGAAACUGUCUGGCUAGAGACCGGGAGAGGUGAGUGGAAUUCCCAGUGUAGCGGUGAAAUGCGUAGAUAUUGGGAGGAACACCAGUGGCGAAGGCGGCUCACUGGACCGGUACUGACGCUGAGGCGCGAAAGCGUGGGGAGCAAACAGG